rnacentral:rRNA from 1 species
GUCUUUUUGUUUGUAUAAAAAGUCUCGCCUGCCCACUGAAAAUUUUAAAUGGCCGCGGUAUUUUGACCGUGCUAAGGUAGCAUAAUCAUUAGUUUUUUAAUUGAAAGCUAGAAUGAAGGGUUGGAUGAAAAAAUAACUGUCUCUAUUUAAUUUAUAAGAAUUUUAUUUUUAAGUUAAAAAGCUUAAAUUUUAUUAAAAGACGAGAAGACCCUAUAGAGUUUUAUAUAUUUAAAUUUAAUUAUUUUUAGUAUUUAAAUUAUUUAUUUUAAAAUAUAUUUAAUUGGGGUGAUUAAAAAAUUAAAUUAACUUUUUUUAUAUAAUUAUAUUAAUUAAUAAUUUAUUGAUCCAAUAUUUUUGAUUAUAAGAUUAAAUUACCUUAGGGAUAACAGCGUAAUUUUACUGGAGAGUUCAAAUUGAGAGUAAAGGUUGCGACCUCGAUGUUGGAUUAAAAUUUAUAAUUGGUGCAGAAGCUAUAGUUAUUAAGUCUGUUCGACU